rnacentral:lncRNA from 1 species
UAUCUCUUCAUCUUUUCUCUUCUCUUCAUGAAAUCAUCCUUUUCGUCUCUCUUCAGUUCUUCUCUUCAUCAAAUCAUCAUCAUUACUUGUCAUCACUUCGCAACACUGUGUUCCCGCUCAUCAUCAUCAUCAGCCUCUGUUUGGCAGCCAUUUGUCCAUCACGAUCUUGAUUUUGGCUGCCGUUCAUCCGCCUUUUGCGAAUAACGUUCGCAGCUGUGACGUGUUCAUCAUCAUCAUAUCAUCAACAACCGCUGUUUGUUGCUUUACCAGACGCCGAUUGUUGAAGUUUGUGAACUAAAUCCCUGAAUCGUGGCUGUGACAUGAAUUGGAGAUAUGGAUUUGUAUUUUGUGAAUGUUAUAUCAUAGAUCUAUGGUUUAUUGCUUUGAAAUUUAAAAUCUGUAAAUUUAAAAUGGUUUAUUGCUUUGUAUUUGAUUUGGGUAGAAUCUGGAUUUGUAAAUUUGUGAAGUGAAUUUGAUUUUUUUUUUUAUUUGUAUGUGAUCCGGGUUGAAAACCCGCAAUCCGGAAACCCGGAUUAUUCCGGGUUUAACCCGUACCGGACCCGGUGUCAUAAAAACCGGG